rnacentral:lncRNA from 1 species
GCUGAGAAAGAGAAAGCAAAAGAUGUUGUUGAUGUUGAUGACUAUGAGACCUCCAAGACUGCUGAAAGACCAACUGGUGGUAUAACAAAAAGGUUGAGAAGCUGUACAGGGAAGGCUGUGCCUACUGCAAGCAAAGCUCCAGCACCAAGAAUCAAAAUAAAAGGUGUUGGACCUAUAAAAAGUUGGAGUAAAGUUCUCUCCCCUCCUGGCAAGAAGAAGGAUACACUGAAGAGGAAGAAGGAGUCAUCCAGUGACUCAGAUUAUGAUGCUGCUGAAGAUGUUGCUAACAUCUCAUCUCCCAACCCUA